AGAAUGGCGCCUGUCACAGUGCGCGUCCAGGUGUCUCUGCAGUACGCCUCUCCAUAGCCACCCGAGCCGGGCUGUAUGGGCUUGGCUAGGCUUAUGUCUCCCGCCCACGCACCGGAGGCGGUGCGGAAAGCACUCCGCGGGCGCGAUUGUCUUCUCCAAGAAAAAAAAAAAGAAAAAAAAAAACAACAUGGCUGCAAAGGAGAAACUGGAGGCAGUGUUAAAUGUGGCCCUGAGGGUGCCAAGCAUCAUGCUGUUGGAUGUCCUGUACAGAUGGGAUGUCAGCUCCUUUUUCCAGCAGAUCCAAAGAAGUAGCCUUAGUAAUAACCCUCUUUUCCAGUAUAAGUAUUUGGCUCUUAAUAUGCAUUAUGUAGGUUAUAUCUUAAGUGUGGUGCUGCUAACAUUGCCCAGGCAGCAUCUGGUUCAGCUUUAUCUAUAUUUUUUGACUGCUCUGCUCCUCUAUGCUGGACAUCAAAUUUCCAGGGACUAUGUUCGGAGUGAACUGGAGUUUGCCUAUGAGGGACCAAUGUAUUUAGAACCUCUCUCUAUGAAUCGGUUUACCACAGCCUUAAUAG
rnacentral:lncRNA from 1 species